rnacentral:rRNA from 1 species
GAUGAACGCUGGCGGCGUGCCUAAUACAUGCAAGUCGAGCGAACAGAUGAGGAGCUUGCUCCUCUGACGUUAGCGGCGGACGGGUGAGUAACACGUGGAUAACCUACCUAUAAGACUGGGAUAACUUCGGGAAACCGGAGCUAAUACCGGAUAAUAUAUUGAACCGCAUGGUUCAAUAGUGAAAGACGGUUUUGCUGUCACUUAUAGAUGGAUCCGCGCCGCAUUAGCUAGUUGGUAAGGUAACGGCUUACCAAGGCAACGAUGCGUAGCCGACCUGAGAGGGGGAUCGGCCACACUGGAACUGAGACACGGUCCAGACUCCUACGGGAGGCAGCAGUAGGGAAUCUUCCGCAAUGGGCGAAAGCCUGACGGAGCAACGCCGCGUGAGUGAGGAAGGUCUUCGGAUCGUAAAACUCUGUUAUUAGGGAAGAACAAAUGUGUAAGUAACUAUGCACGUCUUGACGGUACCGAAUCAGAAAGCCACGGCUAACUACGUG